CAGCAGCGCUGAGUUAAGAAUUUCUGCUCAUGGGGAACUGUGCACAGUUGGGCCCAGAGUGUGUACUUAUUGGUCAGCCUUUCUAUCAUCCCUCUUGCCAGCUCUCUUUGUUACCAGACUCCAGUUUAGCUGCUCAUCACUCAAGAAUCCAAUACUGAGAGGUAAGUGCUGGGAAGAAGGACAGACAGCUUUAUUGAGGAAGCCAUGAGUCCUGGGGGAGAAGGUGGACUCAUGACCCAAAGAACCAGCUCCUCCCUCCCCAGAUUUUGCUUAGAGAUUUCAUGGGGAAAAGAAGGAGAGGCUACAUGCUGGAGAGGAGGUAGUGUGGCGUGUGAGACCAGCUUGUGGACGUUCUUCUGACUGGUUGAUAGUGAGGUAAUUGUGAGUCAGCAUCAUCAACCCUCUGGUUCCAGCCGGUUUGGGGUCUCUGUGCUCGGGGCAGCACACAUUUAGUUUCUCCUACCAGGUGUGGGUUCCACUGAGCAAAGCAGCUUGAUGGCCAUGGCUCAGAAUGUUACCUACAGCCCUGGAGGAGGAACUAAAGGUCCUUGACUUUGUACAAUGGCUAAGUUAUCACUAUUUUGCCUUGUUCGAGUAUUUUCCUUUGUUUCUGAAUUUUCUCAUUUCUCUGAUUAAGUUAAAUUUAUUCUUUGGAACUCAGGGAAGGCCUUGGCAGCUAAAACUUUUCAACCAACAAGAGGCAAUCAGACCAUGAACUUUCUACCAUGAAAGUAGACCCUAGCCUGGGGUCCCUUCUGUGAUCCCCCCUCUACUGUGUUCCAAGUAAAUUUACAUCCACCUACGACCCUCAAAGGGAACCUUGUUUGAAAGUAGGGUCUUUGCAGAUGUGAUCAGAUCAAGAUGAGGUCAUGUUGAACUUCCCAGGUGGUCUAGUGGUUCAGAAUCCUCCUGCCAAUGCAGGGGAAUAACAGGUUCGACCCGUGGUCCAGGAAGAUUCUGCAUGCCGUGGGGCGGCUAAGCUCGUGUGCCACAGCUACCGAAGCCUGAGCAUCUAGAGCCCGUGCUCUGCAACGAGAGAAGCCACGGCAGUGAGAAGCCCAUGGACCACAACCGAGAGUAGCCCCUGCUCACUGCAACUAGAAAAACCCGCACAGCAACGAAGACCCGGUGCUGCCGAAAGUCACAACUGCAUUUGUUAAACGUCACGUCAGGGAAUGAGAAUCGCGGAAAGGACUCUGCUUGAGUGGAUGGUGCAGGGGGCUGUGGGGAAGACCCCCGAGCCCCCCAGCCCCUCUGCGUGUGUCUCGCCGUCUCCCUCCCCGGCCCCACCCCCCACCAGCCACGCGGGCACGGGGGCCUCGAUUCCCCCGGACACCGUCUACAGUCCCGUCAGCCAGAAAGGCAACAGCUUCCCACUGUUCGCUGCCAGCUCGAACUUGAGGACCAGGACCGAGGGCGCUGAGCCUCCCCACCCGCCUUACAAUCGUGGUGAAAUAAACAUGACACAGAAUUCACCUUCCUAAACUCAGUGCACAGCUGAGGGACAGUCAGCACACGCACAUGUUGUCCAGCUUCAUCCGCCGGCAUCUCCAGACCUUCCAUCCUCCCAAACCGACACUCUGUCCCCCUGACACACUCGCCCCCCGUCCCCUCCCCCAGUCCCCACCACCCUACUGUCCUUCCCAAUGGAUUUGGUGCCUCUGGGGACCUCGUAGGAGUGGAAUUCUUCAGGAUUUGUCCCUUCCUGCCUGGCUUCUUUCAUUCAGGACAGGGUCCUCCUGGUUCAUCCGUAUCGUAGCCUCUGUACGAAUUCCAAUGCCCAUUACUCAGCCGUAAAAAAGAACGGAUCUGGUCAGCUGUAGUGACGUGGGUGACCCGAGAGCCUGUUACAAAGGUCGAAGGGAGGAAAGGAGUGGGGACACAGACAUAAAGAAUGGCUUGGUGGACACAGCAGGAGGAGAAAGAAAGAAGUGAAAGUGAAGUCGCUCAGUCGUGUCCAACUCUUUGCGACCCCAGGGACUGUAGCCUACCACGCUCCUCCUCCAUGGGGUUUUCCAGGCUGAGAUGGCAGCUCAGGAGUUACCGGAACCUGAUUAUAACCCUGACUUUGCCGACGUAACAAGCUGUGAGACAUCAGCAGUGUGUCUGUGUGAGUCCCAGGACCAGUUUUAUCAAAACAAUCAUUACUAAUGAAACCAGACUCAGAGAAGGGGAAGAUGUCUCACUCCAAGGGCUGCUGUGAGGAUGAAGGCAGAUGACACAUGUCAGGAACCACGUCUAAUGUCCAAAAAAGAGGACAUGCUCCCCAAAUCGCAGCUUCACCCACAAUGCUGCUCUCUCAGCUCCUCUCCCGGACCUUCUUCAGGUGGGCUUAGCUCAGCCCAGAGUCCGGAGGAGUCACCCCCCAGCUCAGCCUGGCUGGCUGCCCGCAGCGGAAGACCACCUUGCUUUCCCCGGGCCAAGGGUAGUGCUUUCGCCCCAGGCUCCCUUCCUCUGCACUCUUUCUGCUCCCACGGAAAUAAGGUUCCUUGAGGGCCGAGGCCGUGUCCUCUCCCCACUGUGUCCUCGUCACCUGGCCCCACAGAACGUCACGGGCUUGCAGUGGUUGAGGCAGGAGGUGGCCUGGUGAGUCAAGCCACCUUCCUCUCUCAGCACCGGGUUCGCGCCCCACUGCCUGAGGCUCUGGCCUCGCCGUCCCCACUGGGAGCAGGGCCAGGAGCUGCACCAAGGCCAUGAGGGGCGAGAGGGGCUGCUUGGCAGGUGACCUCCUGGAAGAGGUGACUCCACGGCGUGAGAACUCAGUGAUGGGGAGACAUCAGCCAUGAGAGAGUGACCUGCACUGUCUCGGGACCGGCCCUGGGGGUCUGAUCAGGCGUGCCCACCUGGACGAGGCGCUUGACUCUCCCCAGCAUCGCUUAUCCCUGUGUGAGCAGCCUGAGCCUCGGGCAGGAGUGUACAGAAAACAAGCUCGACACCGGAUUCCACAUCCUGGGCCCUCUGAAAAAGACGUCCAUCCUGAAAUAGUUCAUUUAUACAAGAGAACAGAGCGGAAAGUCUUAAUACGGUAACGUGGACGCCCAGGUCCUGCUGCCCACGGAAGGACUAAGACGUGCCAGGACCAAUCACACCUCCCAGCGCCCCCUGCACCCAGCUCCCCUCCACGCCGCCCACUGGGAACCAGGGCCUCACCUUUCUCUCCAUCUCCCUGAGCUUCUCCUGCUCUGUGGUCUUACAGCCACACGGGAUGUUAAGAGGGAGUGUUCAUUAUAUUGAUGCUAGUCUCCUGUAACAAACCGGACAGCUUCUUCCUUGGAAUAAUUUUAUUUAUUUAUAUUUUUCGCUGCCCUGGGCUUUCGUCGCUGUGAGGGCUUUCUCUAGUUGCC
ensembl:lncRNA